UGUACACGCUGUGACUAGCAUAUCAAUAAGCGGAGGAAAAGAAACUAACAAGGAUUCCCCUAGUAACGGCGAGUGAAGCGGGAAGAGCUCAAAUUUGAAAUCUUAAAGGGUUUCCCUUUACGAAUUGUAGUUUAAAGAAGUGUUUUCUGUUGAGGUUUUGGUAAAAGUUCUUUGGAAUAGGACAUCAUAGAGGGUGAGAAUCCCGUAUUUGACCUUUACUUUCAACUUUGUGAUACACUUUCAAAGAGUCGGAUUGUUUGGGAAUGCAGUCCAAAAUGGGUGGUAAAUUUCAUCUAAAGCUAAAUAUUGGCGAGAGACCGAUAGCGAACAAGUACCGUGAGGGAAAGAUGAAAAGAACUUUGAAAAGAGAGUUAAACAGUACGUGAAAUUGUCAAAAGGGAAGCGUUUGACACCAGUGUUGUUUUUCUGAAAAUCAAUUAAAGAACUGUUUAUGCUAAGUUGUUUAGACUUUAUCAGCUAACUGUUUAGUUUUGAGCUUUUCUUUAAUGCACUUUUCAGUUAACAAGUCAACAUCAAUUUCUUUUGCUGUAAAAAAGCUUGAGGAAGGUGGCUUGAGAUUCGUCUUAAGUGUUUAUAGCCUCUUGCCUAUGCAGUCGGAGAGAUUGAGGUCUGCAGCGUAGAUCCUUCGGGGCUAAAUGCAUUUGUGCUAAGUUAUAGCAUUUUAUAGACAACUUGUUGACUAUGAUUUGUCUUGUAGCUUACUCGCUUAUGUUAUUUUACCUACGCUUAGGAUGUUGAAGAUGUAGCACAUCAU
rnacentral:rRNA from 1 species